rnacentral:rRNA from 1 species
GUCUACGGCCACACUACCCUGAAUGUGCCCGAUCUUGUCUGAUCUCGGAAGCUAAGCAGGGUCGGGCCUGGUUAGUACUUGGAUGGGAGACCAUCUUGGAAUACCAGGUGCUGAAGGCA